rnacentral:SRP_RNA from 1 species
AGGCUAGAGCAAUGGUGAGCUUAUGAAGCGUGUCAGGUCCGGAAGGAAGCAGCACUAAGUAAGUUUUGCCAUGUGCUUGAUUAAAUA